rnacentral:rRNA from 1 species
CCCUUAGAUGUUCUGGGCCGCACGCGUGCUACACUGAGUGGAUCAGCGGGUCAGGUUGCGCGAAAGUGUUUCCUAAUCUUUAAAUCCGCUCGUGAUGGGGAUUGACGGUUGCAAUUUUCCGUCAUGAACGAGGAAUACCUUGUAAGCGCGGGUCAUCAUCCCGCGCUGAAUACGUCCCUGCCCUUUGUACACACCGCCCGUCGCUCCUACCGAUUGAAUGCUCAGGUGGGCCAUUCGGACUUUCAUCAUGCUGGUUUCCAGUUUUGAUGAAGGAAAGUCUUGCGAACCUUAUCAUUUAGAGGAAGGAGAAGUCGUAACA